rnacentral:tRNA from 1 species
GUCCCCUUCGUCUAGAGGCCUAGGACGUCGCCCUCUCACGGCGGCAACACGGGUUCGAAUCCCGUAGGGGACG